AUGCAGCUCCCUCUCAAGACACAGACAGCCCACUCAGUGCAACAAAUGGUUGAAAUCACGGACGAGAGCAACUUUGACGACAUCGUCUAUGCCUUUGUGAGCCUGACAGCCAUCUAGAUAGGCCUCAUAGGCCUUGCAGAGUUGCAUGGGGCUGAGGCCGGAUGGCAUCAUCGACCACUCCCUGGGGAAAGUGGCCUGUGGCUAUGCCAACGGCUGCCUGUCCCAGGAGGAGGCUGGCCUCUCUGCCUACUGGAGAGGGCAGUGCAUCAAAGAAGCCAACAUCCCACCAGGCGCCAUGGCAGCUGUGGGCUUGCCCUGGGAGGAGUGUAAGCGGCGCUGCCCACCACCCCCUACCACCCCCCGGGCAUGGUGCCUGCCUGCCACAACUCUGAGGACACGGUGACCAUCUCGGGACCUCAGGGCCCUGUGUACGAGUUCGUGGAAGAGCUGAAGCAGGCGGGCGUGUUUGCCAAGGAGAUGCGGACGGGUGGCAUGUCCUUCCACUCCUACUUCAUGGAGGGCACCGCACACUGACUGCUGCAGGCACUCAAGAAGGUGAUCCGGGAGCUGAAGCAGCGCUCAGCCUGCUGGCUCAGCACCUCUAUCCCCGAGGCCUGGUGGCACACCAGCCUGGCACGCAUGUGCUCCCCCGAGUACAACGUCAGCAACCUGGUGAGCCCCGUGCUGUUCCAGGAGGUCCUAUGGCUCGUGCCUUAGCACACGGUGGUGCUGGAGAUCGUGCCCCACGCCCUGCUGCAGGCUGCACCAUUGUUCCCCUGAUGAAGAAGGACCACAGGGACAACCUGGAGCUGUUCCUCGCCGGCACUGGCAGGCUGCACCUCUCAGGCAUUGACGCCAACCCCAAUGCCUUGCUCCCACUUGUGGAAUUCCUGGUUCCCCUAGGAAUGCCCCUCAUCUCCCCGCUCAUCAAAUGGGACCACAGCCUGGCCUGGGACGUGCUGGCCGCCGAGGACUUCCCCAAUGGUUCCAGUUCCCCAUCGGCCGCGGUCUACAACAACGACGCCAGCCCAGAGUCUCCUGACCACUAACUGGUGGACCACUGCAUUGGUGGCCAUAUCAUCUUCCCUGCCGCUGGCUAUCUGUGCCUCGCGUGGAAGACGCUGGCCCGUGUCGUGAAUCUGGCCAUGGAGCAGCUGCCUGCGGUGUUUGAGGACGUGAUGGUGCACCAGGCCACCAUCCUGCCCAUGACCGGGACUGUGUCCCUCGAGGUACAGCUCCUGGAAGCCUCCCAUACCUUCGAAGUGUCAGAGCACUUCCACCUGGUAAUGAGUGGGAAGGUGUAUCAAUGGGAGGACCCUGGCCCCAGGCUCUCUGACCACCAGGAAAGCCCUGCCACCAGCCCCAGGGAGCCAUUCUUCCUGGCCUAGGCUGAAGUGCACAGGGAACUGUGUUUGCAUGGCUACGACUACGGCACUCAGUUCCAGGGCAUCCUAGAGGCCAGCCUGGAAGGCAACUAGGGCAAGCUGCUGUGGAAGGAUAACUGGGUGCCCUUCCUGGACACCAUGCUGCAGAUGUCAAUCCUGGGCACGGGCCAGUGCAGCCUGUUCCUGCCCACCCGCAUCACUGCCAUCCACAUCGACCCUGCCUCCCACAGGCAGAAGCUGUACACACAGCAGGACGAGGCUCAAGUGGUUGAUGUGGUGGUGAGCAGGCGUCUGAAGACCACAGCGGCCGGAGGCGUCCACCUCUCCAGGCUCCACGCCUCGGCGGUCCCACAGCGGCAGCAGGAGCAUCGAGCACCCGUCCUGGAGAAGUUUUGUUUCACGCCCCACAUAGAGGACAGGUGCCUGUCUGGGCACGCUACUCUGAAGGAGGAGCUGCAGCUGUGCAAGACACUGGUGCAGGCGCUGCAGACUAAGGUGACCUAGAAGGGGCUGAAGAUGGCGGUGCCCAGACUGGACUGGGCCCAGGUCCCCCAGGAUUCCCCGCAGCAGGCACUGCCCCAGCUGCUGUCCGCUGCCCGCGGGCUUCAGCUCAACAGGAACCUACAGCUGGAGCUGGUACAGGUGCUGGCUGAGGAGAGGUCUGAGCUGCCAGAGGACCCUCUGCCCAGCUGCCUCCUGGACUCCCCACCGCUCAAGGCCUGCGUGGACACUGCCCUGGAGAACAUGCCCAGCCUGAAGAUGAAGGUGGUGGAGGCGCUGGCUGGCCAUGGUCAUCUGUAUUCCCGCAUCCCAGGUCCGCUCAACACACUGCAGCUGAGCUACAGGGCCACCGACCGCCACCCUCAGGCCCUGGAGGCUGCCCAGGCCAAGCUGCAGCCGCACGACAUUGCCCAGGGCCAGUGGGACCCCGCGGACCCUGCCCCCAGCGCCCUGGGUAGCACUGACCUCCUGGUGUGCAACUGUACAGUGGCGGCCCUCGGGGACCCGGCCUCAGCCCUCGGCAACAUGAUGGCUGCCCUGAGAGAAGGGGGCUUUCUGCGGCUGCACACGCUGCUCGGGGGCACCCCCUUGGGGAGAUCGUGACCUUCCUCACCUCCGCUGAGCCGCAGUACGCCGGGGCAUCCUGAGCCAGGACGCGUGAGAGAGCCUCUUCUCCAAAUGCCGCCGCGCCUGGUGGGCCUGAAGAAGUCCUUCUACCGCUCCGUACUUUUCCGGUGCGGCCGCCCCGCAGGACAGCCCCGUCUUCCUUCCGGUGGAGCACACCAGCUUCCGCUGGGUGGACUCUCUGAAGGGCUUCCCGGCCGGCUCCUCCUCCGGGCCCGUGUGACAGGAGGCCGUCAACUGCACCGCCUCCGGCGUGGUGGGCUUGGGGAACUGUCUCCGCCAAGAGCUCGGCGGGCACCGCAGUCGGUGCCUGCUGCUCUCCAACCUCAGCAGCACCGCCCGCGUCGCGGACCCGGGCUCCGCAGAACUGCAGAAGGUGCUGCAGGGAGAACUGGUGAUGAACGUCUUCCGCCACUUCCCGCUGGAGCAGGACAAGCCCGAGGAGCUGACGGCACACGCCUACGUGGUGGUCCUCACCCGGGGGGACCUGUCCUCCAUCGCUGGGUCUGCUCCUCGCUGCGCCAUGCCCAGCCAGCCCUGGCGCCCAGCUCUGCACGGCCUACUUCGCCUUCCUCAACUUCCAUGACAUCAUGCUGGCCACUGGCAAGCUGCCUCCUGACGCCAUCCCAGGGAACUGGGCCACCAAGGACUGCUUGCUGGGUAUGGAGUUCGCGGGCCGGGACGCGAGCAGCAAGCGUGUGACCGGGCUGGUGCCCACCGAGGGCCUGGCCACCUCUGUCCUGCUGUCGCCGGACUUCCUCUGGGACGUGCCCUCGCACUGGAUCCUGGAGGAGGCGGCCUUGGUGCCUGUCGUCUGCACCACAGCUUACUACGCACUGGUGGUCUGUGGGCGGGUGCAGCGCGGGGAGACGCUUAUCCACUCUGGUUCUGGAGGCGUGGGCCAGGCCGCCAUCGCCAUCGCCCUCAGUCUGGGCUGCCGCGUCUUCACCGCCGUGGGGUCGGCCGAGAAGCGGGCGUACCUCCAGGCCAGGUUCUCCCAGCUGGACAGCACCAGCUUUGCCAACUCGAGGGACACGUCGUUCGAGAAGCAUGUGCCGCAGCACACUGGCGGGAAGGGCGUUGACCUGGCCCUGAACUCCUUGGUGGAAGAGAAGCUGCAGGCCCGCGUGAGGUGCUUGGCUCAGCACGGCCGCUUGCUGUAAAUUGGCAAAUUCGACCUUGCUAACAACCACCCGCUUGGCAUGGCCAUCUUCUUGAAGAACGUGACCUUCCACGGGAUCCUUCUGGACUCGCUCUUUGGCGAAGCCAGUGCCGCCUGGUGGGAGGUGUUGGCGCUUCUGCAGGCUGGCAUCUGCGAUGGCAUAGUGCAGCCCCUCAGGUGCACCGUGUUCCCCAGGGCCCAGGUGGAGGACGCCUUCAGCUACAUGGCCUAGGGGAAGCUCAUUGGCGAAGUCCUCGUGCAGGUGCAUGCAGAGCAGCCGGAGGCUGUGCUGAAGGGGGCCAAACCCACGCUGACGCCUGUCCCACAAAAGCUAAGUCAUCGCUUGUGCCUGGGGUGGCUUUGGCCUGGGGCUGGCCCAGUGGCUGAUACAGCCCGGGGCUCAGAAGCUGGUGCUGACCUCUUGCUCCAGGAGCCGGAGGUAA